GAACGACACAUAAGUGACGUAGAAAGCCAUGCAGAUUUUGAACAGCUGACCCAGCUACUGAAGGCAGGACACAUUCAGGCACAUGUAUCUCACUCAAAAUAGCAUGGAUAGUUUGAUAGUGUGUAUGUGUGUGGAAGCACCAGAGACACAAA